CAGUCGCCACGGUAAUACGGAGGGUGCAAGCGUUAAUCGGAAUUACUGGGCGUAAAGCGCACGCAGGCGGUCUGACAAGUCAGAUGUGAAAUCCCCGGGCUUAACCUGGGAACUGCAUUUGAAACUGUCAGGCUGGAGUCUUGUAGAGGGGGGUGGAAUUCCAGGUGUAGCGGUGAAAUGCGUAGAGAUCUGGAGGAAUACCGGUGGCGAAGGCGGCCCCCUGGACAAAGACUGACGCUCAGGUGCGAAAGCGUGGGAGCAAACAGGAUUAGAUACCCCGGUAGUCCCUGUCUCUUAUACA
rnacentral:rRNA from 1 species